rnacentral:rRNA from 1 species
AGAGUUUGAUCAUGGCUCAGAACGAACGCUGGCGGCGUGCUUAACACAUGCAAGUCGAACGCGAAAGGGACUUCGGUCCCGAGUAGAGUGGCGCACGGGUGAGUAACGCGUAAGUAAUCUACCCCUGUAUCUGGAAUAACCCACCGAAAGGUGAGCUAAUACCGGAUACGUUUAUCUUGAUGCGAAUGAUGAUAAAGAAAGGUGGCCUCUUCAUGAAAGCUACCGUACAGGGACGAGCUUGCGUACCAUUAGCUGGUUGGUAGGGUAAUGGCCUACCAAGGCGACGAUGGUUAGCGGGUCUGAGAGGAUGAUCCGCCACACUGGAACUGAAACACGGACCAGACUCCUACGGGAGGCAGCAGUGAGGAAUAUUGCGCAAUGGGGGCAACCCUGACGCAGCGACGCCGCGUGGACGAUGAAGGCCCUUGGGUCGUAAAAUCCUGUCAGAUGGAAAGAAAUGUACAGGUGUUAAUAUCGCCUGUAUUUGACGGUACCAUCAAAGGAAGCACCGGCUAACUCCGUGCCAGCAGCCGCGGUAAUACGGAGGGUGCGAGCGUUGUUCGGAAUUACUGGGCGUAAAGCGCGCGUAGGCGGUUUGCUAAGUCAGAUGUGAAAGCCCUCGGCUUAACCGGGGACGUGCAUUUGAAACUGGCAGACUUGAGUACUGGAGGGGGUGGUGGAAUUCCCGGUGUAGAGGUGAAAUUCGUAGAUAUCGGGAGGAAUACCGGUGGCGAAGGCGACCACCUGGCCAGAUACUGACGCUGAGGUGCGAAAGCGUGGGGAGCAAACAGGAUUAGAUACCCUGGUAGUCCACGCCGUAAACGAUGAGAACUA